AUUGAACGCUGGCGGCAGGCCUAACACAUGCAAGUCGAGCGGAUGAAGGGAGCUUGCUCCUGGAUUCAGCGGCGGACGGGUGAGUAAUGCCUAGGAAUCUGCCUGGUAGUGGGGGAUAACGUCCGGAAACGGGCGCUAAUACCGCAUACGUCCUGAGGGAGGAAGCGGGGGAUCUUCGGACCUCACGCUAUCAGAUGAGCCUAGGUCGGAUUAGCUAGUUGGUGGGGUAAAGGCCUACCAAGGCGACGAUCCGUAACUGGUCUGAGAGGAUGAUCAGUCACACUGGAACUGAGACACGGUCCAGACUCCUACGGGAGGCAGCAGUGGGGAAUAUUGGACAAUGGGCGAAAGCCUGAUCCAGCCAUGCCGCGUGUGUGAAGAAGGUCUUCGGAUUGUAAAGCACUUUAAGUUGGGAGGAAGGGCAGUAAGUUAAUACCUUGCUGUGUUGACGUUACCAACAGAAUAAGCACCGGCUAACUUCGUG
rnacentral:rRNA from 1 species